CCCGGCGCCCUCUAGUGCCAGUCAAGGUCUGGCCGCGAAGGUUGGCGGUCUGGGAGCGGCCCCUGCGUGGACCAACCACUUACGCCGUUCCCUUUUGUGGGCGUUUUUCAAAGUGCCUGAACCAGCCUGAGGACAAGCACCUUCUUGCCUUAGUUACUGUUGUACUGUAACGCCACCGCUAGAUGUCGUGCCUGUCGCCUGAAGUGAAGUCGCUCAGUCGUGUCCGACUCUUUGCGAUCCCUUGGACUGUAGCCUACCAGUCUCCUCCGUCCAUGCAAUUUUCCAGGCAAGAGUACUGGAGUGGGUUGCCAUUUCCUUCACCAGAGGAUCUUCCCGACCCGGGGAUGGAACCUGGGUCUCCCGCAUUAGUAGUUGCCCGCCCAAUAAACAUGUUUGACUACA